rnacentral:snoRNA from 1 species
AAGCCAGCUAUGGAAUCUGCUUAUCUGUAUGUGUUUCUGCAGAAAUGUAGAAAAAGCUGGCAAUGGUAAAGCCAACAUUAUGAGCCUUAAAGAUAUCAGUUAUUAAGGUCCCUGUAAAUGCCUACAUAU